rnacentral:rRNA from 1 species
UAAGGAAUAUUGGUCAAUGGACGCAAGUCUGAACCAGCCAUGCCGCGUGGAGGAUGAAGGUCCUCUGGCUUGUAAACUUCUUUUAUCUGGGACGAAACACUUCUUUUCUAAGAGGCCUGACGGUACCAGAUGAAUAAGCACCGGCUAACUCCGUGCCAGCAGCCGCGGUAAUACGGAGGGUGCAAGCGUUAUCCGGAUUCACUGGGUUUAAAGGGUGCGUAGGUGGGUAUGUAAGUCAGUGGUGAAAUCCCCGAGCUUAACUUGGGAACUGCCAUUGAUACUAUAUAUCUUGAGUACCGUAGAGGUAAGCGGAACAGGUCAUGUAGCGGUGAAAUGCUUAGAUAUGACAUGGAACACCAAUUGCGAAGGCAGCUUACUAUGCGGUGAUUGACACUGAGGCACGAAAGCGUGGGUAGCAAACA